rnacentral:lncRNA from 1 species
UUGAUUUGUUUUUUUUGUUGUUGACCAAGUUGAAACAAAAGUGCAACAUAGAGUACUCUUACAUUUAUGCGUAUGUUUGGUUACGCGUUUUCACAAGCAAAAUGCGAGUUUGCCGCACCAAACGUGCGUUUUCUGUUUUCUGGGUUGUUUGGAUAAAAUCCAAACGCGAAUCUCUGGAACGCGAAUCAACACUCAAACGCGAGUAAACUUGAAGCUACAAAUCCAAGCUUCUGCGUCAAAGCAAACUCGAUUUGGGAUUUUUUCUCUUUUUCCUACUUUUUUAUUCAUUCUUUGCCCCUAACUGUUGUCUUUCUCAAAUCCACUUUCAAAUCUAUCAGAUCCACCACUCCAACCAGCUGCAUGUUGCCUUUCCUCUCUAAAAC